rnacentral:rRNA from 1 species
GACGAACGCUGGCGGCGUGCUUAACACACGCAAGUCGAACGGAAAGGCCCUGCUUUUGUGGGGUGCUCGAGUGGCGAACGGGUGAGUAACACGUGAGUAACCUGCCCUUGACUUUGGGAUAACUUCAGGAAACUGGGGCUAAUACCGGAUAGGAGCUCCUGCUGCAUGGUGGGGGUUGGAAAGUUUCGGCGGUUGGGGAUGGACUCGCGGCUUAUCAGCUUGUUGGUGGGGUAGUGGCUUACCAAGGCUUUGACGGGUAGCCGGCCUGAGAGGGUGACCGGCCACAUUGGGACUGAGAUACGGCCCAGACUCCUACGGGAGGCAGCAGUGGGGAAUAUUGCACAAUGGGCGGAAGCCUGAUGCAGCAACGCGGCGUGCGGGAUGACGGCCUUCGGGUUGUAAACCGCUUUCGCCUGUGACGAAGCGUGAGUGACGGUAAUGGGUAAAGAAGCACCGGCUAACUACGUG